rnacentral:rRNA from 1 species
GACGAACGCUGGCGGCGUGCUUAACACAUGCAAGUCGAACGGAAAGGCCCUGCUUUUGUGGGGUGCUCGAGUGGCGAACGGGUGAGUAGCACGUGAGUAACCUGCCCUUGACUUUGGGAUAACUUCAGGAAACUGGGGCUAAUACCGGAGAGGAGCUCCUGCUGCAUGGUGGGGGUUGGAAAGUUUCGGCGGUUGGGGAUGGACUCGGGGCUUAUCAGCUUGUUGGUGGGGUAGUGGCUUACCAAGGCUUUGACGGGUCGCCGGCCUGAGAGGGUGACCGGGGACAUUGGGACUGAGAUACGGCCCAGAGUCCAACGGGAGGCAGCAGUGGGGAAUAUUGCCCAAUGGGCGGAAGCCUGAUGCAGCAACGCCGGGUGCGGGAUGAAGGCCUUCGGGUUGUAAACCGCUUUCGCCUGUGACGAAGCGUGAGUGACGGUAAUGGGUAAAGAAGCACCGGCUAACUACGUG